UGGGGAAUAUUGGACAAUGGGCGCAAGCCUGAUCCAGCCAUGCCGCGUGAGUGAAGAAGGCCCUAGGGUUGUAAAGCUCUUUCAGUGGGGAAGAUAAUGACGGUACCCACAGAAGAAGCUCCGGCUAACUUCGUGCCAGCAGCCGCGGUAAUACGAAGGGAGCUAGCGUUGUUCGGAAUUACUGGGCGUAAAGCGCACGUAGGCGGAUUGUUAAGUUAGGGGUGAAAUCCCGAGGCUCAACCUCGGAACUGCCUUUGAUACUGGCAAUCUGGAGUCCGAAAGAGGUGAGUGGAAUUCCGAGUGUAGAGGUGAAAUUCGUAGAUAUUCGGAGGAACACCAGAGGCGAAGGCGGCUCACUGGUUCGGUACUGACGCUGAGGUGCGAAAGCGUGGGGAGCAAACAGGAUUAGAUACCCCCGUAGUCC
rnacentral:rRNA from 1 species